rnacentral:rRNA from 1 species
GACGAACGCUGGCGGCGUGCCUAAUACAUGCAAGUAGAACGCUGAAGGUGGAGCUUACUUCUCUGGAUGAGUUGCGAACGGGUGAGUAACGCGUAGGUAACCUGCCUGGUAGCGGGGGAUAACUAUUGGAAACGAUAGCUAAUACCGCAUAAGAGUAGAUGUUGCAUGACAUUUACUUAAAAGGUGCAAUUGCACCACUACCAGAUGGACCUGCGUUGUAUUAGCUAGUUGGUGGGGUAACGGCUUACCAAGGCGACGAUACAUAGCCGACCUGAGAGGGUGAUCGGCAACACUGGGACUGAGACACGGCCCAGACUCCUACGGGAGGCAGCAGUAGGGAAUCUUCGGCAAUGGACGGAAGUCUGACCGAGCAACGCCGCGUGAGUGAAGAAGGUUUUCGGAUCGUAAAGCUCUGUUGUAAGAGAAGAACGAGUGUGAGAGUGGAAAGUUCACACUGUGACGGUAUCUUACCAGAAAGGGACGGCUAACUACGUGCCAGCAGCCGCCGUAA